AAGGAAGGAAGGAAGGAAAGAUCAGCUGGGUAUGGUGUCACAUGCCUGUAGUUCUGACUUCUUGAGAGACUGAGGCAGGAGGAUCACUUGAGCCCACAGUAUGAGGCUGCAGUGAGCUAGAACAGUGCCACUGCACUCUAGCCUGGGUAACAGAGCAAGACCUUGUCUCUCUAAAACAAAAAAGAAAAAAAGAGGGAGAGAGAAUAAGGAAGUUACAGUUAUAAAACUCAGGUCAGGUGAGGGUCAUUUUAAAAAGAUCCAGUAGCCAACUUGAGAAGACUUCCACUGGCCAAAGAUGAAACAGUUUCAGCAUUAAAAUGAAUAAUGACUGUACGAGAUUGAAACAUAUCAAAUACAUGAAAAUUCCAUAAGUUCAUAAUGAUACUGAAAAAUAAAACCAUUGGUCACCUUUGGACAUUGAUAGGGCACCAUUCAAGGUUUUGAAAAUUAAUAGGGGGUAGCAGAUCCUGUUGGUGGCCUGACCCAUAUUCUCUUAGCACUCAACAAACCAAAGACUGCUUGCUGCCCGAGGAUAUUUGUGUCUGUACCUAAAUGCUUGGCCUAAAUGCACAGUAAGUCAGAAGCACCAGAAGGUUAAUGCCCCUGGGACCAGUCCUCAACCAGUAACAGGUGGGGAGGUGGUAAAUUAUUAUUAUUAUUUGAGAUGGCGUCUCACUCUGUCACCCAGGCUGGAGUGCAGUGGUGUGAUCUCGGCUCUGCAACCUCAGCCUCCUGGGUUCAAGUGAUUCUCCUGCCUCAGCCUCCCCAGUAGCUGGGAUUACAGUACAUGCCAUCGUGCCUGGCUAAUUUUUAUAUUUUUAGUAGAGACAGGGGUUUCACCACUUUGGCCAGGCUAGCCUCAAACUCCUGAUCUCAGGUGAACUGCCCACCUCGGCCUCCCAAAGUGCUAGGCUUACAGGCGUAAGCCACCGCACCUUGCCGGAGUUGGUAAAUUAAAACCCCAGCCUCCUCAUCUCUCAGGUGGGAAAACGGCGGCAAGUUCUACACUGGCUCCCAGAGUGCCCCAGCAGCGUGCAUUUCAUUUGUCCAUGGCCAUAGCCUAUUCCAUUAUGCACCCUUUACUGGAUUCCUUCCCUUUCUUGUCUCUGUUUGCCAUCAAGAUCUGGGAAUUUUCAGACCCACCAAGUCAUGAGGACAUAUGGGCACAGUAGCAACAAAAAAUGGUACAUUUAGGAUUGGGUGUAAGCAUGUCCAGAGGGCACGAAUAAGCUACAAGUGCAGGGAGUCCAGAUCCCACUUUACCUGUCCCUGUUGCUCCUGUACCUCUCUUAGCUCACCCUGUAGCCUUGUGGGAAUUUCCCUAUAACCAGGCUUUAGAGGAGGAAAAAAUGCAGGCCAGGUUCAUGGAUGGGCCUGUCUGAUUUAUUGAUGUGAGCUAAACUUGGAUGCUGCCACACUACAGCCCCACUCAGGGGUGGCCUUGAAAGACAACAUGAGGGGAAAUCCUCCAGGGAGGACGUUUCAAGCAGCAUGCUGGUGGUCUACUCUGCAGUGAGAGAGGUGACUUGAGGAAAGUAUAUACACAUGGAUUCUUGAGCAGUGGCAGUGGCUUAGUUGGCUGGUCAGGGCCCAGAAGAGAGUAAGAUUGGAAGGUUGGAGGUAAGGAUGUCCAGGGAAGAGGUAUAUGGAUGGACUUAUAGGAGUGGGCACAAAGUGAUAAAUCUUUGUGUCUUAUGUCAGUACCAUCAAAGAACAUUCACUGCAGAGGGGGCAUUGAAGAGCUAAGGGGACAGAAGGACUCCAGUGGAUAAACCAGCCUUUGUCAUGCCAGGGCUUCCAUGGUGAGCCCAUGAAUGGAGUAGUUGUGGCAGUAGAUCUGGAAUCUAUGCAAGGGCCCACUAGCAUGGGCGACCUCUCAUCAAGGCUCAUCUAGCUACUGCCACUGCUGAAUGUUUGGCCUGUCUGCAGCAGAGACAGAUGCUGACCCCUCAACAUGGUACCAGCCCUCAAGGAGAUCAACCAGCCAGUUGAUAGUAUGUUUUUUGUUUGUUUGUUUGUUUUUGAAACAGGGUCUCACUCUGGUUGCCCAGUCUGGAGUGCAGUGGUGUGAUCUCGGCUCACUGUGGCCUCGACCUCCCAGGCUCAGAUAUGGGGUUUCACUAUGUUGCCCAGGCUGGUCUUCAACUCCUGAUCUCAAGUGAGUGCCUGCCUCGGCCUUCCAAAGUGCUGGGAUUACAGGUGUGAGCCACUGUGCCUGCCUGAUGGUAUGUUGAUUUCAGUGUAUCUCUUUCAAUCUGGGGGAGGAGCAAUAUGUCCUCACUGGGAUUAGUGCAUAUUCUGGAUAUGGAUUUGUCUUUCCUGACCAAAUGCCUGGGCCAGCACCAAAUAUCAAGGGCCCAAAGUCAAUGAUUUGUCCUUAUGAGACCCCUUAUAGUCUCACCUCUAACCAAGGGUCUGCACUUUAUAGCGAAGGAAAUGUGACAAUGGAUGCACAGCCACAGGAUCCAUUGGUUCUAUGCUAUAAUAUAUCACAUCACCUUGAAACUGCCAGCUUGUUAGUACAUUACUGUGGCCUCUUUACAGCACAUCUAAAGCCAGCCUGGGGAAAAGAUCCUGUGAGAUUUGGGUGCAGUCCUGCAAAAUGAAGUAUAUAUUUUGAGUUAAUGGCCAUUAUAUAGUGCUAUAUGCCAGACAGUUAGAAAUCAGGGGUACAGGAACCAAGGUAUGGAAGAAGGAAUACCCCUCUCACCAUCAGUCCUAGUGACUCACUUGGGGGAAUUUGUGCCUCCUGUCCUUAUACAUUUAAGGUCUGUGGGAUUAGAAGCCCUGGUUCUUGAAGUGGCAGAUGCAGCUCCCAGAGGUCACAGUGAAGAUGCUACUAAACCUAAGGCUACAGCAGCCAUUGGGUCAUUUGGGGCAUCUCAUACCAAUUGGCCAGUACACAAAGAAAGGAAUUAUGCAAGCAGAGAUAUUUGAUCUUCAUUAUCCCAUGAACAGGCAGUUGUAUCAAUGAUGGCCUGGCAAGGGCAUGGUGAUGUAAGGCAGAGAACUUCAGUCAUGAAGGUCUGGAUUUUCCAUUGAGAAAGCCCUGCAGACUAACAGAAUGAACUGUAGAGGAGGGAAAUGUUGAAUGCUGAUUUCAGCCUUGCAACCAACUGCAGCAAUGGUUAUGGUUUGUCCUACUAACCCACCCAUUGUACAAUUAAAAAAAAAAAAAACAGAUGGAGUCUCACUCUGUCACCCAGGCUGGAGUUCAGUGGCAUGAUUAUGGCUCACUGCGCCUCAAACUGCUAGGCUCAAGAAAUCCUUCCAUAUCAGCCUCCCUGGUAGCUGGGACUACAGACACACGCCACCACGCCUGGUGAAUUUUUAAAUUAUUUUUUAGAGACAGAGGUCUUGCUUUGUUGCUCAGACUGGUCUCAAACUCCUAGUUUCAAGUGAUCCUCCAGCCUCGGCCUCCCAAAGUGUUGGGAUUACUGGCAGGAGUCACCACACCCAGCCUGUUGUUAAGACUUUCUUUUAAAAGAAUUAGAAAUUGCAAUCAGCCACCACCUUGAAGCAUCAGAGACAGAAUAGAAUGAACUCAUGGAAUGAGAGGCACAAAUGGAUCCUAGCAGUGCAAAGGGGGGACGGUACUGUGACCCAUAUCCUUCAGCAUUCACCUCUACAGGAGGACGCAUCUUUGUGAACAUCUGUGACUCUGCCUGGAGGCGUUUGUUCUGGCUAUGGGAGCAUGUUUGUGCUCAGGGCAAGCCAGGAAUGCUAGAGAGUUAAUGCUCCCAGAAGGAGCUCUCAACCAACACAGAGGGAGUUGACAAUUAUAUCCUAUUUCUUUGCCCCUUGGGGAGGAUUCUCUGAGGCAGCUUCUACACUUCUCCCAGGUUCCUCAGCAGGAUUGAUCCCCAUUGGCCCACCUGCUCUAAUACAUGCCUCUAACUGGCUCCCUUCCCUUUCCUGUCCCACUUCUCCACUCCUCUCCCAGUGCCUGUUAGCAUCACUUACCAAAUAAACUACUUUUGUUCCUGACUCAAGAUCUGCUUCUAGGAAGCAGAUCCUUCUUAGCCCACCUAAGACAAAUGCGAGAUAAUCAAGCACUAAUUCUACCUUUCCUGAAUGGGUGAAAUGUCAGAGUAACAAAGCAGUUAUUGAGAGCAGUUUUUCUUACAGAUGAUUCACAGCUAAUAAACGAAGGUGGGCCUGGCGCAGCGGGUCAUGCCUGUAACCCCAGCACUUUGGGAUGCAGGGGCGGGCAGAUCACUUGAGGUCAGGAGUUCGACACCAG
rnacentral:lncRNA from 10 species